CGCACAUUGCGCCCUUUGGUAUUCCGAGGGGCAUGCCUGUUCGAGCGUCAUUUCAACCCUCAAGCUUCUGCUUGGUGUUGGGUCCUCGUCCGCUGCGGACGGGCCCGAAACUCAUAGGCGGUGGCGCCCAGCUCCCAGCGUAGUCAAUUCUAUCCGCUACGGAGUCCUGGGUGUCGUCUGCCGGACGAACACACACACUUUCUAUGGUUUGACCUCGGAUCAGGUAGGGAUACCCGCUGAACUUAA
rnacentral:misc_RNA from 1 species